UACAGAGGUCCCAAGCGUUGUUCGGAUUCAUUGGGCGUAAAGGGUGUGUAGGUGGCGCCGUAAGUCGGGUGUGAAAUUUCGGAGCUUAACUCCGAACCUGCAUUCGAUACUGCGGUGCUUGAGGACUGGAGAGGAGACUGGAAUUCAUGGUGUAGCAGUGAAAUGCGUAGAUAUCGGGAGGAACACCAGCGGCGAAGGCGGCACUCUGGGCUGGAACUGACGCUGAGGAGCGAAAGCGUGGGUAGCAAACAGG
rnacentral:rRNA from 1 species